rnacentral:tRNA from 1 species
CAGGUAGUAUCGUAACUGGUAACGAGCCUGCAUUGGGUGCAGGAGACUAGAGGUUCGAGUCCUCUCUACCUGA